AACGAACGCUGGCGGCAGGCUUAACACAUGCAAGUCGAACGCCCCGCAAGGGGAGUGGCGCACGGGUGAGUAACGCGUGUAUAUCUGCCUUUUGGUUCUGAAUAACCCCGGGAAACUGGGGCUAAUACCGGAUGGUUCCUACGGGAUAAAGAUUUAUCGCCAAAAGAUGAGUCCGCGUACGAUUAGCUCGUUGGUGAGGUAAUGGCUCACCAAGGCGACGAUCGUUAGCUGGUCUGAGAGGACGAUCAGCCACACUGGGACUGAGACACGGCCCAGACUCCUACGGGAGGCAGCAGUGGGGAAUAUUGGACAAUAGGGGCAACCCUGAUCCAGCCAUGCCGCGUGAGUGAUGAAGGCCUUCGAGUUGUAAAGCUCUUUUGGCGGGGACGAUGAUGACGGUACCCGCAGAAUAAGCCCCGGAUAACUUCGUG
rnacentral:rRNA from 1 species